rnacentral:rRNA from 1 species
UACGUAGGUGGCGAGCGUUGUCCGGAAUUAUUGGGCGUAAAGAGCUCGUAGGCGGCUUGUCACGUCGGAUGUGAAAGCCCGAGGCUUAACCUCGGGUCUGCAUUCGAUACGGGCUAGCUAGAGUGUGGUAGGGGAGAUCGGAAUUCCUGGUGUAGCGGUGAAAUGCGCAGAUAUCAGGAGGAACACCGGUGGCGAAGGCGGAUCUCUGGGCCAUUACUGACGCUGAGGAGCGAAAGCGUGGGGAGCGAACAGG